UGCCCAGCAACUCCUAUCCCUACUUCCACGCGGUACCGGCCGGAAACUAUGAGUAACCUUAGGGAAGA
rfam:Aedes albopictus isolate Foshan contig157154, whole genome shotgun sequence.